rnacentral:tRNA from 1 species
GAAUAAGAAGCAAUUUUUUGCAUUUAAUUUCGACUUAAAAGUUAGAGUUUUUACUCCUUAUUUA